GUGGGGGAUAUUGCACAAUGGGCGAAAGCCUGAUGCAGCGACGCCGCGUGAGUGAAGAAGUAUUUCGGUAUGUAAAGCUCUAUCAGCAGGGAAGAAAGACCUCGUAAGAGGGGAUGACGGUACCUGAGUAAGAAGCCCCGGCUAACUACGUGCCAGCAGCCGCGGUAAUACGUAGGGGGCAAGCGUUAUCCGGAUUUACUGGGUGUAAAGGGAGCGUAGACGGUGUAUCAAGUCUGAAGUGAAACCCCACGGCUCAACCGUGGGCUUGCUUUGGAAACUGGUAGACUAGAGUACUGGAGAGGUAAGCGGAAUUCCUGGUGUAGUAGUGAAAUGCGUAGAUAUCAGGAAGAACAUCAGUGGCGAAGGCGGCUUACUGGACAGCAACUGACGUUGAGGCUCGAAGGCGUGGGGAGCAAACAGG
rnacentral:rRNA from 1 species